UAGUGCCUACGGGACGCAGCAGUGAGGAAUAUUGGUCAAUGGCCGGAAGGCUGAACCAGCCAAGUCGCGUGAGGGAAUAAGGCCCUAUGGGUCGUAAACCUCUUUUGUCAGGGAGCAAAGGCGUCCACGUGUGGACGAGAGGAGAGUACCUGAAGAAAAAGCAUCGGCUAACUCCGUGCCAGCAGCCGCGGUAAUACGGAGGAUGCGAGCGUUAUCCGGAUUUAUUGGGUUUAAAGGGUGCGCAGGCGGCGAGUUAAGUCAGCGGUAAAAUUUCGGGGCUCAACCCCGACGAGCCGUUGAAACUG
rnacentral:rRNA from 1 species